AUCACAGAAGUGACCGUUACAAUGAGUUAGAGGGGCUUUCAAUAGUCGGUGGAGUAUGUUUCAACAAAAUACCUUGCAGUUUGUUAGUUAUUUGUUAGUCGCUGUGCUCUGGAGUGGCUAAGCUAGCAUGAAUCAGUGCUGCUUGCUAGCAUGCCAAUAAAAAAACAACAUUAACGGAUCUAACUGUUCAAAUGAAGCCAUGUCAUCGUCAAAGAGUAAGCAGUACAGUGUGUCAGGGUGAUUGAUGCUUCAAUACAGGCUCCACGUAUGGUGUGAGAGGCUGCGGGCUGUUUACCCAGGAGCCAUUCAGGACCACUUCUUGGUCUGACGAAACCCUAAUUGGAGUGAUGGUUGAUGAGAUGAAGAGGCUGCUGAGGAAGCUGAUGUCCAAAUUUGUGCAAAUGGAUGUGAUCAGGAAAGCUGAGGAUAUCCUAGAUGUUGAUUACAGGAACAAGGAGAACUGGCAUGACACAGGCAACAUAGCAGUAUCACAUGAUGCCAGACAAUACAUGGAGCAAGUUGAAGACUAUCUCUGAUGCCACCAAAAAGAGGUUCUUUGACAGUGUAGUUAAUUUUUACACAAGUGUUGUGACCAAAAUGAACUUGAAAAAAAAUGGUUGCAUAUUGUCUUAGCGAUUGUCACAUCUCAAGGAGCACUGUGCUAGCCAUCAUAUUGAAAUGGAAGGAGCAUCAGACCACUGCAAAUCUACGAAGACCCGGCCGUCCUUCCAAACUUUCUUCUCAAACAAGAAAACUGAUCAGAGUUGCAGCCAAGAGGCCCAUGAUCACUCUGGAUGAACUGCAGAGAUCUACAGCUGAGGUGGGAGAGUCUGUCCAUAGGACAACAAUCAGUCAUACACUGCACAAAUCUGGCCUUUAUGGAAGAGUGGCAAGAAGAAAGCCAUUUCUCAAAGAUAUCCAUAAAAAGUCUCGUUUAAAGUUUGCCACAAGCCACCUGGGAGACACACCAAACAUGUGGAAGAAGGUGCUCUGGUCAGAUGAAACCAAAAUUGAACUUUUUGGCCACAAUGCAAAACGAUAUGUUUGGCGUAAAAGCAACACAGCUCAUCACCCUGAACACACCAUCCCCACUGUCAAACAUGGUGGUGGCAGCAUCAUGGUUUGGGCCUGCUUUUCUUCAGCAGGGACAGGGAAGAUGGUUAAAAUUGACGGGAAGAUGGAUGCAGCCAGAUACAGGAACAUUCUGGAAGAAAACCUGUUGGUAUCUGCACAAGACCUGAGACUG